rnacentral:tRNA from 2 species
GCCGGGGUGGCGGAACUGGCAGACGCACAGGACUUAAAAUCCUGCGGGUGGUGGCACCCGUACGGGUUCGAUUCCCGUCCUCGGCACCA